rnacentral:rRNA from 1 species
AUACGAAGGUCCCAAGCGUUAUUCGGAAUCACUGGGCGUAAAGAGUACGUAGGCGGUUUGGUAAGUCAGGUGUGAAAUCCCGAAGCUCAACUUCGGAACUGCAUCCGAUACUGCCAGACUAGAGUAAUGGAGAGGCAGGUGGAAUUCUCGGUGUAGCAGUGAAAUGCGUGGAUAUCGAGAGGAAGACCAAUGGCGAAGGCAGCCUGCUGGACAUUUUCUGACGCUGAGGUACGAAGGCUAGGGGAGCGAAAGGGAUUAGAAACCCCAGUAGUCC